CGUUUGGAUAUAUCCUAGCUGUGUUUGUGACCUCACUCAUGGUCCAGACUUUUUUCAAAUAGGACAUGUAGUUUGUCUGCAGCGAGUGUUUUGGUAGAAACUGCGCCUCCCAUUCAUUAUAAUGGGAAAUGACCACAGACAAGUGCGCACACCAUCUUUGGACCUUGAGUGUGACGCGAUCGGGAGGGGGAGGUGGUCGCGCUGGGGGCGGCGCGACGCGGCUCGGGCCCGACAGUGCCCCACCGGGGCCCUAGUUAUUUUUCCUCCCCUUUGAACUGGAAAAUGGCCCACUUCCCACUGGCGAAAACUCAUGAAAUUUGGCAGGACGACCGGGCCUGGUGAAAAAUUUGAUAUUCCGAAGUCGCCCAAUCAAGAAAAUGCAAAAUGGCUCCAUAGCGCCCCCUAAGGUGAAAAUUCACACUAUUGACUGUCACGCCUGUAUGCUUUGUCAAAAUGACACAAAAAUUGACACACACAUGUAUCUCAAUAAGAUCUACAAAAAAGUCAGUGCGGGCGUAUCUGUCAAAUGUACGGUUAAAGGGUUAUUUCGCAUUUUUUGCCGAUCCGCACACAUUGGAAUUUCGCUAACUCCUCCGAAGGCUUUCGUUCCACCAGCACCACAUUUGCUCAGGCCAAUCUACACCCCAUGGCCAUUAAAAGUUAUUCAAAUCAUGACGCUGCACCCCACGGUUUAGGUUCUAGGGGGCGCCAAAGAUAACACUAAAAUCCACAUAUUUAAAAGUCUUAUAACUUUUUAUUUUUGUCCCCACUGGCCUCCAAGUUUUCUAGGAUGAUGCAAUGUCCAGCCAUCAACACAUUUGUGAAGGAAUUUUUACUCCCCAAAAGAGCGCCCCCCAUGGCAGGAGAAAAAAGUCCAUUUUUUCUUGUCCCCUAAGGUGAAAAUACACAUUGUUGAGUGUCACGCCUAUACGCUUUGUCAAAAUGACACAAAAAUUGACACACACAUGUAACUCAAUAAGAUCUACAAAAAAGUCCAUGCGCGCGUAUCUGUCAAAUGUACAGUUAAAGGGUUAUUCCGCAUUUUUUGCCGAUACGCACACAUUGGAAUUUCGCUAACUCCUCCGAAGGCUUUCGUUCCACCGGCACCACAUUUGCUCAGGCCAAUCUACACCCCAUGGCCAUUAAAAGUUAUUCAAAUCAUGAUGCUGCACCCCAUGGUUUAGGUUCUAGGGGGCGCCAAAAAUAACCCAAAAAUCCACAUUCUUAAAUGUUUUAUAACUUUUUAUUUUUGUCCUCACUGGCCUCCAAGUUUUCUAGGAUGAUGCAAUGUCCAGCCAUCAACACAUUUGUGAAGGAAUUUUUACUCCCCAAAAGAGCGCCCCCCCAUGGUAGGAGAAAAAAGUCAAUUAGGGCCCGAGCGUAGCUGCUAAGCAGCUGCGAGAGCCCUCUUGUUCCUGUAGUUUCCUUCUUUUGUUAUUAUUAUUAUUUUUCCUCCCCUUUGAACUGGAAAAUGGCCCACUUCCCACUGGCGAAAACUCAUGAAAUUUGGCAGGACGACCGGGCCUGGUGAAAAAUUUGAUAUUCCGAAGUCGCCCAAACAAGAAAAUGCAAAAUGGCUCCAUAGCGCCCCCUAAGGUGAAAAUUCACACUAUUCACUGUCACGCCUGUACGCUUUGUCAAAAUGACACAAAAAUUGACACACACAUGUAUCUCAAUAAGAUCUACAAAAAAGUCAGUGCGGGCGUAUCUGUCAAAUGUACGGUUAAAGGGUUAUUUCGCAUUUUUUGCCGAUCCGCACACAUUGGAAUUUCGCUAACUCCUCCGAAGGCUUUCGUUCCACCGGCACCACAUUUGCUCAGGCCAAUCUACACCCCAUGGCCAUUAAAAGUUAUUCAAAUCAUGACGCUGCACCCCACGGUUUAGGUUCUAGGGGGCGCCAAAGAUAACCCUAAGAUCCACAUAUUUAAAAGUCUUAUAACUUUUUAUUUUUGCCCUCACUGGCCUCCAAGUUUUCUAGGAUGAUGCAAUGUCCAGCCAUCAACACAUUUGUGAAGGAAUUUUUACUCCCCAAAAGAGCGCCCCCCCAUGGCAGGAGAAAAAAGUCCAUUUUUUCUUGUCCCCUAAGGUGAAAAUACACAUUGUUGAGUGUAACACCUGUACGCUUUGGCAAAAUGACACAAAAAUUGACACACACAUGUAUCUCAAUAAGAUCUACGAAAAAGUCAAUGCGCGCGUAUCUGUUAAAUGUACGGUUAAAGGGUUAUUCCGCAUUUUUUGCCGAUCCGCACACAUUGGAAUUUCGCUAACUCCUCCGAAGGCUUUCGUUCCACCGGCACCACAUUUGCUCAGGCCAAUCUACACCCCAUGGCCAUUAAAAGUUAUUCAAAUCAUGACGCUGCACCCCACGGUUUAGGUUCUAGGGGGCGCCAAAGAUAACUGUAAAAUCCACAUAUUUAAAAGUCUUAUAACUUUUUAUUUUUGUCCCCACUGGCCUCCAAGUUUUCUAGGAUGAUGCAAUGUCCAGCCAUCAACACAUUUGUGAAGGAAUUUUUACUCGCCAAAAGAGCGCCCCCAUGGCAGGAGAAAAAAGUCCAUUUUUUCUUGUCCACUAAGGUGAAAAUACACAUUGUUGAGUGCUACGCCUGUAUGUUUUGUCGUAUUGACACAAAAUUUUACAUACACAUGUAUUUCAAUAAGAUCUUCGAAAAAGUCAAUGGCCACGUAUCUGUAAAAUGUACGGUUAAAGGGUUAUUUCGCAUUUUUUGCAGAUUCGCACACAUUGGAAUUUCGCUAACUCCUCCGAAGGCUUUCGUUCCACCGGCACCACAUUUGCUCAGGCCAAUCUACACCCCAUGGCCAUUAAAAGUUAUUCAAAUCAUGACGCUGCACCCCACGGUUUAGGUUCUAGGGGGCGCCAAAGAUAACCCUAAAAUCCACAUAUUUAAAAGUCUUAUAACUUUUUAUUUUUGUCCUCACUGGCCUCCAUGUUUUCUAGGAUGAUGCAAUGUCCAGCCAUCAACACAUUUGUGAAGGAGUUUUUUCUCGUUAAAAGAGCGCCCCCCCCAUGGCAGGAGAAUAAAGUCAAGUUUUUCCUGUUCAUCAUUCAAUGGCUCAAACGCACUGCUCUCUCGGCAAAAGCGAAAGGAGGAGCAACUUGCCAUUUGGAUAUAUCUUAGCUGUGUUUGUGCCCUCACUCAUGGUCCAGACUUUUUUCAAAUAGGACAUGGAGUUUUUCUGCAGCGAGCGCUUUGGUAGAAACUGCGCCUCCCGUUCAUUAUAAUGGUAAUUGACCACAAACAAGUGCGCACACCAUCUUUGGACCUUGAGUGUGACGCGAUCGGGUGGGGGAGGCGGUCGCGCUGGGGGCGGCGUGACACGGCUCGGGCCCGCCAGUGCCCCAACGGGGCCCUAGUUUUUUCUUGUCCCCUUACAUGAAAAUACACAUUGUUGAGUGUCACGCCUGAACGCUUUGUCAUAUUGACAAAAAAAUUGACAAUCAUGUGUAUCUCAAUUAGAUCUACGAAAAAGUCAAAGAGCGCGUAUCUUUAUAAUGUACGGUUAAAGGGCUAUUUUGCAUUUUUUGCCGAUUCGCACACAUUGGAAUGUGGCUAUCUCCUCCUAAGGCUUUCGUCCCACCGAUACCAAGUUUGCUCAGGGCAAUCUACACCCCAUGCCCAUUCAAAGUUGUAAAAAUCAUGACGCUGCACCCCACGGUUUACGUUCUAGUGGGCGCCAAAGAUGACCCACAAAUCCACAUUCUUAAAAGUCAUUUUGGCCACUGCAGGAGUACAGAGUACUGCAGUUCUAGGGGGCGCCAAAGAUGACCCAAAAAUCCACAUUCUUAAAAGUCUUUUUGGCCACUGCAGGAGUACAGAGUACUGCAGGAUACACACACAUAUACACACACGCCAACAUACACACACACACACACACACACACACACACACAGACACACACACACACUCAGAGUCUGUUUUUUAGCACCUGCAAAAACAUGCUGUUUACAUAUUUGACAAGAAUGCAGAGGCUUCCUUUUGCCCCUGAAAAAACUCAAAUUUCAAACACAACUUGACUGUUCAUUUCUCCAAAAGACAACCAUGAAGUUCCAUUUCAAACCUGAAGCAGAUAGUUGGUGCAUGUGUACAGUAACCUGAGGGGAGUGAGGUGACUAUUUCUGAGGAGAACAUGAGCAGUGAAGAUUCACCUUGGAGCUAGAACAGGGACGUGCACAUGAUUAUACAGGGGCAGGGGCUCAAGUUUUUUCGAGUCAUUUAUACAAUAUGGAAAUUAAUGUGAAAUUAAACCACAAAUAUGUGUGAUGAACUGUUUUUAAAACUUAAACUUCAAAUAAAAAUUGUAAACUUCAAAACAUAUGCAAAUUUUUAACAAAGAACAUAGUGAUUUACCUCUAUUUACAUCAAAAUGCAGGCAAUGGCCCAGGCGUUCUUUGUAAAAUUAUUUACAAAACACUGUAUAGUCUCACAAAUGUCACUUUUUAUUUAUGCCACUACAAAAAAACAUGAUGUAAAUGAUGCAUGAUGUAAAACAUGAUGUAACAAACUUGUGUAGAUCCUCCUCUAUGUCAGUCCAUGUGUAAUUUUUCCAUAAUUCUUUGUUUUUUGCAGCAUUUUUGUUAGUGUAACUGCAGAUUGUGCUGACAGUGUCUAUGGCACAAAAAAAAAAAAAUAAAUAAAAUGCCUCAACAUGAACCCCUGGUGGUCUCUGAGGGUGAAACCUGCUAACUGCUGCAGCUCUGUCAGCUUCAGUCUCCCAUGCAGAGCUCUGAGCGCAUGUGUGGCUCUGCACCCUUAGCAGCGUUGCUAACUCCUCAGUAAGGAAAGCCUGCUUCAUGUCAGAGUCUCUAAACUCCAGAAGAAGUCGAUAAAAGUCCCUUUCUUUCUAAAAAAAAGUCGUUAGGGGGUCUGAAAAGUCAUUGAAUCUAACAACAAAGUCGCUAGGUUUGCAACUACGUGUCCCAGACUGCAUCCCUGCUGAGAGUCCCUCCCUCCCUUCUCAUGUUGCAGGAAGAACGUAAGCGCCCGCCCCUUGUCAAUCAGUCACCAUAUAAUUUUGGAUUGGUUGUUGUGGUGAAGUUUCCCACCAAUAGGAGAGAUGUUGUGGUGUGUUUUUUUUUUUUCUUUUGGCAAGCCUUUUCCGCCUGUAAGACCUGUCGCUAAUGUCUGCAUGCUAUGUUUUCCUGUCUCAUACAGCGCGAUCGAGCGCCGAACGUGAUCAAAAUAAGCAGAAAAAAAGUAUCGCGGACAUAAUUUAUCAUAACUCUGGUUUUAUUUGGCCUAUCAACACAAUUUAAAAACUGGUAUAUAGGUUGAGGUCCUCACUUUUGAGAUAAGUUGAAACGGAGAGUCAACGAGGCUCCGUCUUGCAGCUACAUCCGGUUAAAUAUGUCAUGUGACUUGAACGCACACACAGACACACACACACGCACACACACACACACACACACACACACUCAGAGUCUGGUUUUUAGCACCUGCAAAAACAUGCUAUUUACAUAUUUGACAAGAAUGCAGAGGCUCCUUUUGCCCCUGAAAAAAAAAUCAAAUUUCAAACACAACUUGACUGGUCAUUUCUCCAAAAGACAACCAUGAAGCUCCAUCCAAACCUGAAGCAGGCAGUUGGUGCAUGUGUACAGUAACCUGAGGGGAGUGAGGUGAGUGCUUCUGAGGAGAACAUGAGCAGUGAAGAUUCACCUUGGAGCUAGAACAGAGACAUGCACAUGAUUAUACAGGGGCAGGGGCUCAAGUUUUUAUACAAUAUGGAAAUUAAUGUGAAAUUAAAACACAAAGUAUUAAUAGAAAGGUAAUGACUGUCCUGUGUAGGUGACAGUGAUAUCCAAUAGGCUAGGCACUCACGAGGCUGGCUGUGGCAAGUGUAAGUGAAAGCAACACGCACUGGCAGGAAGAACAGCAAACGCCGAUGAAGGAAAAGGGUCUUUGCAGUGAUGGGCGUUAACAGAGAGGGCGAUGGCCAGAGGACACAAAUGGGACGGGGAGGCAGCACGUUGGGGGGGGGGGGGGGGGGAGACGCGACACGGCUCGGGCCCGCCAGUGCCCCAACGGGGUCCUAGUUAUUAUUAUUUUUCCUCCCCUUUGAACUGGAAAAUGGCCCACUUCCCACUGGCGAAAACUCAUGAAAUUUGGCAGGACGACCGGGCCUGGUGAAAAAUUUGAUAUUCCGAAGUCGCCCAAACAAGAAAAUGCAAAAUGGCUCCAUAGCGCCCCCUAAGGUGAAAAUUCACACUAUUGACUGUCACGCGUGUACGCUUUGUCAAAAUGACACAAAAAUUGACACACACAUGUAUCUCAAUAAGAUCUACAAAAAAGUCAAUGCGCGCGUAUCUGUCAAAUGUACGGUUAAAGGGUUAUUCCGCACUUUUUGCCGAUCCGCACACAUUGGAAUUUCGCUAACUCCUCCGAAGGCUUUCGUUCCACCGGCACCACAUUUGCUCAGGCCAAUCUACACCCCAUGGCCAUUAAAAGUUAUUCAAAUCAUGACGCUGCACCCCACGGUUUAGGUUCUAGGGGGCGCCAAAGAUAACCCUAAAAUCCACAUAUUUAAAAGUCUUAUAACUUUUUAUUUUUGUCCUCACUGGCCUCCAAGUUUUCUAGGAUGAUGCAAUGUCCAGCCAUCAACACAUUUGUGAAGGAAUUUUUACUCCCCAAAAGAGCGCCCCCCCAUGGCAGGAGAAAAAAGUCAAUUUUUUCUUGUCCCCUAAGGUGGAAAUUCACACUAUUGACUGUCACGCCUGUACACUUUAUCAUAUUGACACAAAAAUUGACACACAUAUGUAUCUCAAUAAGAUCUACGAAAAAGUCAAUGCACGCGUAUCUGUCAAAUGUACGGUUAGAGGGCUAUUUUGCAUUUUUUGCCGAUUCGCACACAUUGGAAUGUGGCUAACUCCUCCUAAGGCUUUCGUCCCACUGAAACCAAAUUUGCUCAGGCCAAUCUACAGCCCAUGGCCAUUCAAAGUUGUAAAAAUCAUGACGCUGCACCCCACGGUUUACGUUCUAGGGGGCGCCAAAGAUGACCCAAAAAUCCACAUUAUUAAAAGAAUCCACAUUCCCCCCCCCCCAAUGGCACGAGAAAAAGUCAAGUUUUUCCUGCCCAUCGCUCAAUGGCUCAAUCGCAUCGCUCUCCAGGCAAAACCGUAAGGAGGAGCAACCUGCCAUUUCGAUAUAUAUCCCAGCUGUGUUUGUGUCCUCACUCAUGGUCCAGACUUUUUUCAAAUAGGACAUGAAGUUUGUCUGCAGCGAGUGUUUUGGUAGAAACUGCGCCUCCCAUUCAUUAUAAUGGGAAAUGACUACAGACAAGUGCGCACACCAUCUUUGGACCUUGAGUGUGACGCGAUUGGGAGGGGGAGGCGGUCGCGCUGGGGGCGGCGCAACGCGGCUCGGGCCCGACAGUGCCCCACCGGGGCCCUAGUUAGGGCCCGAGCGUAGCUGCUAAGCAGCUGCGAGAGCCCUCUUGUUCCUGCAUGUUUCCUUCUUUUGUUAUUAUUAGGGCCCGAGCCAGCUGCAGAGCAGCCGGGCGUAGAGCCCUAUUAUUCCUGUAUAGGUUUUUCUUUCUUCUUUCUUUCUUUCUUUCUUUCUUCUUAUUUUUCCUCCCCUUUGAAGGGGAAAAUGGCCCACUUCCCACUGGCGAAAACUCAGGACAUUUGGCAGGACAACCGGGCCUGGUGAAAAAUUCGAUAUUCUGAAGUCGCCCAAACAAUAAAAUGCAAAAUGGCUCCAUAGCGCCCCCUAAGGUGAAAAUUCACACUAUUGACUGUCACGCCUGUACGCUUUGUCAUUUUGACACAAAAAUUGACACACACGUGUAUCUCAAUACGGUCUACGAAAAAGUCAGCGCGGGCGCACCUGUGAAAUGUACGGUUAGAGGGUUAUUUCGCAUUUUUUGCCGAUCUGCACACAUUGGAAUUUCGCUAACUCCUCCGAAGGCAUUCGUUCCACCGGCACCACAUUUGCUCAGGCCAAUCUACACCCCAUGGCCAUUAAAAGUUGUACAAAUCAUGACGCUGCACCCCACGGUUUACGUUCUAGGGGGCGCCAAAGAUAACACUAAAAUCCACAUAUUUAAAAGUCUUAUAACUUUUUAUUUUUGUCCUCAAUGGCCUCCAAGUUCUCUAGGAUGAUGCAAUGUCCAGCCAUCAACACAUUUGUGAAGGAAUUUUUACUAGCCAAAAGAGCGCCCCCCAUGGCAGGAGAAAAAAGUCCAUUUUUUCUUGUCUCCUAAGGCGAAAAUACACAUUGUUGACUGUCACGCCUUUACGCUUUGUCAAAAUGACACAAAAUUUGACACACACAUGUAUCUCAAUAAGAUCUACGAAAAAGUCAAUGCGAGCGUAUCUGUUCAAUGUACGGUUAAAGGGUUAUUUUGCAUUUUUUCCCGAUCCGCACACAUUGGAAUUUCGCUAACUCCUCCGAAGGCUUUAAUUCCACCGCCACCAAAUUUGCUCAGGCCAAUCUACACCCCAUGGCCAUUAAAAGUUGUACAAAUCAUGACGCUGCACUCCACGGUUUAGGUUCUAGGGGGCGCCAAAGAUAACCCAAAAAUCCACAUUCUUAAUAGUCUUAUAACUUUUUAUUUUUGUCCUCACUGGCCUCCAAGUUUUCUAGGAUGAUGCAAUGUCCAGCCAUCAACACAAUUGUAAAGGAAUUUUUACUCCCGAAAAGGGCGCCCCCCCAUGGCAGGAGAAAAAAGUCCAUUUUUUCUUGUCCCCUAAGGUGAAAAAACACAUUGUUGACUGUCACGCCUAUACGCUUUGUCAAAAUGACACAAAAUUUGACACACACGUGUAUCUCAAUAAGAUCUACGAAAAAGUCAAUGGGCACGUAUCUGUAAAAUGUACGGAUAAAGGGCUAUUUCGCAUUUUUUGCCGAUUCGCACACAUUGGAAUGUGGCUAACUCCUCCUAAGGCUUUCUUCCCACCGACACCAAAUUUGCUCAAGCCGAUCUACAUCCCAUGGCCAUUCAAAGUUGUAAAAAUCAUGCCGCUGCACCCCAUGGUUUACGUUCUAGGGGGCGCCAAAGAUGACCCAAAUAUUCACAUUCUUAAAAAAAAUCCACAUCCCCCCCCCCCCCAAGGCAGGAGAAAAAGUCAAGUUUUCCCUGCCCAUCGCUCAAUGGCUCAAUCGCAUCGCUCUCCCGGCAACACCGUAAGGAGGAGCAACUUGCCAUUUGGAUAUAUCCUAGCUGUGUUUGUGCCCUCACUCAUGGUCCAGACUUUUUUCAAAUAGGACAUGUAGUUUGUCUGCAGCGACCGUUUUGGUAGAAACUGCGCCUCCCAUUCAUUAUAAUGGGAAAUGACCACAGACAAGUGCGCACACCAUCUUUGGACCUUGAGUGUGAUGCAAUCGGGAGGGGGAGGCGGUCGCGCUGGGGGCGGCGCGACGCGGCUCGGGCCCGAAAGUGCCCCACCGGGGCCCUAGUUAUUAUUUUUCCUCCCCUUUGAACUGGAAAAUGGCCCACUUCCCACUGGCGAAAACUCAUGAAAUUUGGCAGGACGACCGGGCCUGGUGAAAAAUUUGAUAUUCCGAAGUCGCCCAAACAAGAAAAUGCAAAAUGGCUCCAUAGCGCCCCCUAAGGUGAAAAUUCACACUAUUGACUGUCACGCGUGUACGCUUUGUCAAAAUGACACAAAAAUUGACACACACAUGUAUCUCAAUAAGAUCUACAAAAAAGUCAAUGCGCGCGUAUCUGUCAAAUGUACGGUUAAAGGGUUAUUCCGCACUUUUUGCCGAUCCGCACACAUUGGAAUUUCGCUAACUCCUCCGAAGGCUUUCGUUCCACCGGCACCACAUUUGCUCAGGCCAAUCUACACCCCAUGGCCAUUAAAAGUUAUUCAAAUCAUGACGCUGCACCCCACGGUUUAGGUUCUAGGGGGCGCCAAAGAUAACCCUAAAAUCCACAUAUUUAAAAGUCUUAUAACUUUUUAUUUUUGUCCUCACUGGCCUCCAAGUUUUCUAGGAUGAUGCAAUGUCCAGCCAUCAACACAUUUGUGAAGGAAUUUUUACUCCCCAAAAGAGCGCCCCCCCAUGGCAGGAGAAAAAAGUCAAUUUUUUCUUGUCCCCUAAGGUGGAAAUUCACACUAUUGACUGUCACGCCUGUACGCUUUAUCAUAUUGACACAAAAAUUGACACACAUAUGUAUCUCAAUAAGAUCUACAAAAAAGUCAAUGCGCGCGUAUCUGUCAAAUGUACGGUUAAAGGGUUAUUUUGCAUUUUUUGCCGAUUCGCACACAUUGGAAUGUGGCUAACUCCUCCUAAGGCUUUCGUCCCACUGACACCAAAUUUGCUCAGGCCAAUCUACACCCCAUGGCCAUUCAAAGUUGUAAAAAUCAUGACGCUGCACCCCACGGUUUACGUUCUAGGGGGCGCCAAAGAUGACCCAAAAAUCCACAUUCUUAAAGGAAUCCCCCCCCCCCCCCCAAGGCAGGAGAAAAAGUCAAGUUAACCCUGCCCAUCGCUCAAUGGCUCAAUCGCAUCGCUCUCCAGGCAACACCGUAAGGAGGAGCAACCUGCCAUUUCGAUAUAUCAUAGCUGUGUUUGUGCCCUCACUCAUGGUCCAGACUUUUUUCAAAUAGGACAUGAAGUUUGUCUGCAGCGAGUAUUUUGGUAGAAACUGCGCCUCCCAUUCAUUAUAAUGGGAAAUGACCACAGACAAGUGCGCACACCAUCUUUGGACCUUGAGUGUGACGCGAUCGGGAGGGGGAGGCGGUCGCGCUGGGGGCGGCGCGACGCGGCUCGGGCCCGACAGUGCCCCACCGGGGCCCUAGUUAUUAUUUUUCCUCCCCUUUAAACUGGAAACUGGCCCACUUCCCACUGGCGAAAACUCAUGAAAUUUGGCAGGACGACCGGGCCUGGUGAAAAAUUCGAUAUUCUGAAGUCACCCAAACAAUAAAAUGCAAAAUGGCUCCAUAGCGCCCCCUAAGGUGAAAAUUCACACUAUUGACUGUCACGCCUGUACACUUUGUCAUAUUGACACAAAAAUUGACACACACAUGUAUCUCAAUAAGAUCUACAAAAAAGUCAGUGCGGGCGUAUCUGUCAAAUGUACGGUUAAAGGGUUAUUUCGCAUUUUUUGCCGAUCCGCACACAUUGGAAUUUCGCUAACUCCUCCGAAGGCUUUCGUUCCACCGGCACCACAUUUGCUCAGGCCAAUCUACACUCCAUGGCCAUUCAAAGUUGUACAAAUCAUGAUGCUGCACCCCAUGGUUUACGUUCUAGGGGGCGCCAAAAAUAACCCAAAAAUCCACAUUCUUAAAAGUUUUAUAACUUUUUAUUUUUGUCCUCACUGGCCUCCAAGUUUUCUAGGAUGAUGCAAUGUCCAGCCAUCAACACAUUUGUGAAGGAAUUUUUACUCCCCAAAAGAGCGCCCCCCCCAUGGCAGGACAAAAAAGUCAAUUUUUUCUUGUCCCCUAAGGUGAAAAUACACAUUGUUGAGAUUCACGCCUGUACGCUUUGUCAUAUUUACAAAAAAUUUGACACACAUGUGUAUCUCAAUAACAUCUACGAAAAAGUCAAUGCGCGCGUAUCUGUAAAAUGUACGGCUAAACGGCUAUUUUGCAUUUUUUGCCGAUUCGCACACAUUGGAAUGUGGCUAACUCCUCCUAAGGCUUUCGUCCCACUGACACCAAAUUUGCUCAGGCCAAUCUACACCCCAUGGCCAUUCAAAGUUGUAAAAAUCAUGCCGCUGCACCCCAUGGUUUACGUUCUAGGGGGCGCCAAAGAUGACCCAAAUACCCACAUUCUUAAAAGUCGUUUUGGCCACUGCAGGAGUACAGAGUACUGCAGGAUACACACACACAGAUACACACACACACAGACACACACACACACACACGCACACACACACACACACACACACACAUACACACUCAGAGUCUGUUUUUCAGCACCUGCAAAAACAUGCUAUUUACAUAUUUGACAACAAUGCAGAGACUUCCUUUUGCCCCUGAAAAAAAUGAAAUUUCAAACACAACUUGACUGCUCAUUUCUCCAAAAGACAACCAUGAAGCUCCAUCCAAACCUGAAGCAGGCAGUUGGUGCAUGUGUACAGUAACCUGAGGGGAGUGAGGUGACUGCUUCUGAGGAGAACAUGAGCAGUGAAGAUUCACCUUGGAGCUAGAACAGGGACGUGCACAUGAUUAUACAGGGGCAGGGGCUCAAGUUUUUUCCAGUCGUUUAUACAAUAUGGAAAUUAAUGUGAAAUUAAAAAACAAAGUAUUAAUAGAAAGGUAAUGACUGUCCUGUGUAGGUGACAGUGAUAUCCAAUAGGCUAGGCACUCACGAGGCUGGCUGUGGCAAGUGCAAGUGAAAGCCACACGCACUGGCAGGAAGAACAGCAAACGCCGAUGAAGGAAAAGGGUCUUUGCAGUGAUGGGCGUUACCAGAGAGGACGAUGGCCAGAGGACGCGAAUGGGACGGGGAGGCAGCGCGUUGGGGGGGGGGGGGGGGGGCGCGACACAGCUCGGGCCCGCCAGUGCCCCAACGGGGCCCUAGUUAGGGCCCGAGCGUAGCUGCUAAGCAGCUGCGAGAGCCCUCUUGUUCCUGAUGGAUUCUUCUUUUGUUAUUAUUAGGGCCCGAGCCAGCUGCAGAGCAGCCGGGCGUAGAGCCCUAUUAUUCCUGUAUAGGUUUUUCUUUCUUCUUUCUUUCUUUCUUUCUUUCUUUCUUUAGGGCCCGAGCGUAGCUGCUAAGCAGCUGCGAGAGCCCUAUUAUUCCUGAUGGAUUCUUCUUUCUUCUUCUUCUUCUUAUUAUUAGGGCCCGAGCGUAGCUGCUAAGCAGCUGCGAGAGCCCUGUUGUUCCUGAUGAGUUUUUCUUUCUUCUUUCUUUCUUUCUUUCUUUCUUUCUUCUUAUUUUUCCUCCCCUUUGAAGGGGAAAAUGGCCCACUUCCCACUGGCGAAAACUCAUGAAAUUUGACAGGACGACCGGGCCUGGUGAAAAAUUCGAUAUUCUGAAGUCGCCCAAACAAUAAAAUGCAAAAUGGCUCCAUAGCGCCCCCUAAGGUGAAAAUUCACACUAUUGACUGUCACGCCUGUACGCUUUGUCAUAUUGACACAAAAAUUGACACACACAUGUAUCUCAAUAAGAUCUACAAAAAAGUCAGCACGGGCGUGUCUGUCAAAUGUACGGUUAAAGGGUUAUUUCGCAUUUUUUGCCGAUCCGCACACAUUGGAAUUUCGCUAACUCCUCCGAAGGCUUUCGUUCCACCGGCACCACAUUUGCUCAGGCCAAUCUACACCCCAUGGCCAUUAAAAGUUGUACAAAUCAUGACGCUGCACCCCACGGUUUACGUUCUAGGGGGCGCCAAAGAUAACCCAAAAAUCCACAGAUCUUAAAAGUCUUAUAACUUUUUAUUUUUGUCCUCACUGGCCUCCAAGUUCUCUAGGAUGAUGCAAUGUCCAGCAAUUAACACAUUUGUGAAGGAAUUUUUACUCGCCAAAAGAGCGCCCCCCCAUGGCAGGAGAAAAAAGUCCAUUUUUUCUUGUCCCCUAAGGCGAAUAUACACAUUGUUGAGUGUCACGCCUGUACGCUUUGUCAUAUUGACACAAAAUUUGACAAUCACGUGUAUCUCAAUAAGAUCUACGAAAAAGUCAAUGUGCGCGUAUCUGUAAAAUGUACAGUUAAAGGGCUAUUUCGCAUUUUUUGCCGAUUCGCACACAUUGGAAUGUGGCUAACUCCUCCUAAGGCUUUCGUUCCACUGACACCAAAUUUGCUCAGGCCAAUCUACACCCCAUGGCCAUUCAAAGUUGUACAAAUCAUGACGCUGCAUCCCACGGUUUACGUUCUAGGGGGCGCCAAAGAUGACCCAAAUAUCCACAUUUUUAAAAGUCUUAUAACUUUAUUUUUGUCCUCACUGGCCUCCAAGUUUUCUAGGAUGAUGCAAUGUUCAGUCAUCAACACAUUUGUGAAGGAAUUUUUUUUCCCCAAAAGAGCGCCCCCCCCCAUGGCAGGAGAAAAAGUCAAGUUUUUCCUGCCCAUCGCUCAAUGGCUCAAAUUCAUCGCUCUCUCGGCAAAACCGAAAGGAGGAGCACCUUGCCAUUUGGGUAUAUACUAGCUGUGUUUGUGCCCUCACUCAUGGUCCAGACUUUUUUCAAAAAGGACAUGGAGUUUGUCUGCAGCGAGCGUUUUGGUAGAAACUGCGCCUCCCAUUCAUUAUAAUGGUAAAUGACCACAGACAAGUGCGCACACCAUCUUUGGACCUUUAGUGUGACGCGAUCGGGACGGGUAGGUGGUCGCGCUGGGAGCGGCGCGACACGGCUCGGGCCCGCCAGUGCCCCAACGGGGCCCUAGUUAUUUUUCUGCCCCUUUGAACUGGAAAAUGGCCCACUUCCCACUGGUGAAAAGUCAUGAAAUUUGGCAGGACGACCGGGCCUGGUGAAAAAUUCGAUAUUCUGAAGUCGCCCAAAAAAUCAAAUGCAAAAUGGCUCCAUAGCGCCCCCUAAGGUGAAAAAUUCACAUGAUUGAGUGUCACGCCUGUACGCUUUGUCAAAAUGACACAAAAUUUGACACACACGUGUAUCUCAAUAAGAUCUACAAAAAAGUCAGUGCGGGCGUAUCUGUCAAAUGUACGGUUAAAGGGCUAUUUCGCAUUUUUUGCCGAUCCGCACACAUUGGAAUUUCGCUAACUCCUCCGAAGGCUUUCGUUCCACCGGCACCAAAUUUGCUCAGGCCAAUCUACACCCCAUGGCCAUUAAAAGUUGUACAAAUCAUGACGCUGCAUCCCACGGUUUACGUUCUAGGGGGCGCCAAAGAUAACCCAGAAAUCCACAUUCUUAAAAGUCGUAUAACUUUUUAUUUUUGUCCUCACUGGCCUCCAAGUUUUCUAGGAUGAUGCAAUGUCCAGCCAUCAACACAUUUGUGAAGGAAUUUUUACUCCCCAAAAGAGCGCCCCCCCAUGGCAGGAGAAAAAAGUCCAUUUUUUCUUGUCUCCUAAGGCGAAAAUUCACACUAUUGACUGUCACGCCUUUACGCUUUGUCAUAUUGACACAAAAAUUGACACACACAUGUAUCUCAAUAAGAUCUACAAAAAAGUCAGUGCGGGCGUAUCUGUCAAAUGUACGGUUAAAGGGUUAUUUCGCAUUUUUUGCCGAUCCGCACACAUUGGAAUUUCGCUAACUCCUCCGAAGGCUUUCGUUCCAAAGGCACCACAUUUGCUGAGGCCAAUCUACACCCCAUGGCCAUUAAAAGUUGUACAAAUCAUGACGCUGCACCCCACGGUUUACGUUCUAGGGGGCGCCAAAGAUAACCCAAAAAUCCACAUAUUUAAAAGUCUUAUAACUUUUUAUUUUUGUCCUCACUGGCCUCCAAGUUCUCUAGGAUGAUGCAAUGUCCAGCCAUCAACACAUUUGUGAAGGAAUUUUUACUCGCCAAAAGAGCGCCCCCCCCCAUGGCAGGAGAAAAAAGUCCAUUUUUUCUUGUCUCCUAAGGCGAAAAUACACAUUGUUGACUGUCACGCCUUUACGCUUUGUCAAAAUGACACAAAAUUUGACACACACAUGUAUCUCAAUAAGAUCUACAAAAAAGUCAGUGCGGGCGUAUCUGUCAAAUGUACGGUUAAAGGGUUAUUUCGCAUUUUUUGCCGAUCCGCACACAUUGGAAUUUCGCUAACUCCUCCUAAAUCUUUUGUCCCAUCGGCUUCAAAUUUGCUCAGGUCAAUCUACACCCCAUGGCCAUUCAAAGUUGUACAAAUCAUGACGCUGCACCCCACAGUUUACGUUCUAGGGGGCGCCAAAGAGGACCCAAAUACCCACAUUUUUAAAAGUCUUAUAACUUUUUAUUUUUGUCCUCACUGGCCUCCAAGUUUUCUAGGAUGAUGCAAUGUCCAGCCAUCAACACAUUUGUGAAGGAAUUUUUUCUCCCCAAAAGAGCGCCCCCCCAUGGCAGGAGAAAAAGUCAAGUUUUUCCUGCCCAUCGCUCAAUGGCUCAAACGCAUCGCUCUCUCUGCAAAACCGAAAGGAGGAGCAACUUGCCAUUUGGAUAUAUACUAGCUGUGUUUGUGCCCUCACUCAUGGUCCAGACUUUUUUCAAAUAGGACAUGUAGUUUGUCUGCAGCGAGCGUUUUGGUAGAAACUGCGCCUCCCAUUCAUUAUAAUGGGAAAUGACCACAGACAAGUGCGCACAUCAUCUUUGGACCUUGAGUGUGACGCGAUCGGGAGGGGGAGGCGGUCACGCUGGGGGCGGCGCAACGCGGCUCGGGCCCGACAGUGCCCCACCGGGGCCCUAGUUCUUCUUAUUUUUCCUCCCCUUUGAAGGGGAAAAUGGCCCACUUCCCACUGGCGAAAACUCAUGAAAUUUGGCAGGACGACCGGGCCUGGUGAAAAAUUCGAUAUUCUGAAGUCGCCCAAACAAUAAAAUGCAAAAUGGCUCCAUAGCGCCCCCUAAGGCGAAAAUUCACACUAUUGACUGUCACGCCUGUACGCUUUGUCAUAGUGACACAAAAUUUGACACACACGUGUAUCUCAAUAAGAUCUACAAAAAAGUCAGUGCGGGCGUAUCUGUCAAAUGUACGUUUAAAGGGCUAUUUCGCAUUUUUUGCCGAUCCGCACACAUUGGAAUUUCGCUAACUCCUCCGAAGGCUUUCGUUCCACCGGCACCAAAUUUGCUCAGGCCAAUCUAACCCCCAUGGCCAUUAAAAGUUGUACAAAUCAUGACGCUGCACUCCACGGUUUAGGUUCUAGGGGGCGCCAAAGAUAACCCAAAAAUCCCCAUUCUUAAUAGUCUUAUAACUUUUUAUUUUUGUCCUCACUGGCCUCCAAGUUUUCUAGGAUGAUGCAAUGUCCAGCCAUCAACACAUUUGUAAAGGAAUUUUUACUCCCGAAAAGAGCGCCCCCCCAUGGCAGGAGAAAAAAGUCCAUUUUUUCUUGUCCCCUAAGGUGAAAAAACACAUUGUUGACUGUCACGCCUAUACGCUUUGUCAAAAUGACACAAAAAUUGACACACACGUGUAUCUCAAUACGGUCUACAAAAAAGUCAGCGCGGGCGCAUCUGUGAAAUGUACGGUUAGAGGGUUAUUUCGCAUUUUUUGCAGAUCUGCACACAUUGGAAUUUUGCUAUCUCCUCCGAAGGCAUUCGUUCCACCGGCACCACAUUUGCUCAGGCCAAUCUACACCCCAUGGCCAUUAAAAGUUGUACAAAUCAUGACGCUGCACCCCACGGUUUAGGUUCUAGGGGGCGCCAAAGAUGACCCAAAUAUCCACAUUCUUAAAAGAAUCCACAUCCCCCCCCCCCCCAAGGCAGGAGAAAAAGUCAAGUUAACCCUGCCCAUCGCUCAAUGGCUCAAUCGCAUCGCUCUUCCGGCAACACCGUAAGGAGGAGCAACUUGCCAUUUGGAUAUAUCCUAGCUGUGUUUGAGCCCUCACUCAUGGUCCAGACUUUUUUCAAAUAGGACAUGUAGUUUGUCUGCAGCCACCGUUUUGGUAGAAACUGCGCCUCCCAUUCAUUAUAAUGGGAAAUGACCACAGACAAGUGCGCACACCAUCUUCGGACCUUGAGUGUGACGCGAUCGGGAGGGGGAGGCGGUCGCGCUGGGGGCGGCGCGAUGCGGCUCGGGCCCGACAGUGCCCCACCGGGGCCCUAGUUUAUUAUUAGGGCCCGAGCGUAGCUGCUAAGCAGCUGCGAGGCCCUAUUAUUCCUGUAGUGGUUUUUCUUUGUUUCUUUUUUCUUUUUCCUCCCCUUUGAACUGGAAAAUGGCCCACUUCCCACUGGCGAAAACUCAUGAAAUUUGGCAGGAUGACCGGGCCUGGUGAAAAAUUUGAUAUUCCGAAGUCGCCCAAACAAUAAAAUGCAAAAUGGCUCCAUAGCGCCCCCUAAGGUGAAAAUUCACACUAUUGACUGUCACGCCUGUACGCUUUGUCAAAAUGACACAAAAAUUGACACACACAUGUAUCUCAAUAAGAUCUACAAAAAAGUCAGUGCGGGCGUAUCUGUCAAAUGUACGGUUAAAGGGUUAUUGCGCAUUUUUUGCCGAUCCGCACACAUUGGAAUUUCGCUAACUCCUCCGAAGGCUUUUGUUCCACCGGCACCACAUUUGCUCAGGCCAAUCUACACCCCAUGGCCAUUAAAAGUUAUUCAAAUCAUGACGCUGCACCCCACGGUUUAGGUUCUAGGGGGCGCCAAAGAUAACCCUAAAAUCCACAUAUUUAAAAGUCUUAUAACUUUUUAUUUUUGCCCUCACUGGCCUCCAAGUUUUCUAGGAUGAUGCAAUGUCCAGCCAUCAACACAUUUGUGAAGGAAUUUUUACUCCCCAAAAGAGCGCCCCCCCAUGGCAGGAGAAAAAAGUCCAUUUUUUCUUGUCCCAUAAGGUGAAAAUUCACACUAUUGACUGUCACGCCUGUACGCUUUGUCAAAAUUACACAAAAAUUGACACGCACAUGUAUCUCAAUAAGAUCUACAAAAAAGUCAGUGCGGGCGUAUCUGUCAAAUGUACGGUUAAAGGGUUAUUGCGCAUUUUUUGCCGAUCCGCACACAUUGGAAUUUCGCUAACUCCUCUAAAGGCUUUCGUUCCACCGGCACCACAUUUGCUCAGGCCAAUCUACACCCAAUGGCCAUUAAAAGUUAUUCAAAUCAUGACGCUGCACCCCACGGUUUAGGUUCUAGGGGGCGCCAAAGAUAACCCUAAAAUCCACAUAUUUCAAAGUCUUAUAACUUUUUAUUUUUGCCCUCACUGGCCUCCAAGUUUUCUAGGAUGAUGCAAUGUCCAGCCAUCAACACAUUUGUGAAGGAAUUUUUACUCCCCAAAAGAGCGCCCCCCCAUGGCAGGAGAAAAAAGUCCAUUUUUUCUUGUCCCAUAAGGUGAAAAUACACAUUGUUUAGUGUCACGCCUGUACGCUUUGGCAAAAUGACACAAAAAUUGACACACACAUGUAUCUCAAUAAGAUCUACGAAAAAGUCAAUGCGCGCGUAUCUGUCAAAUGUACGGUUAGAGGGUUAUUUCGCAUUUUUUGCCGAUCCGCACACAUUGGAAUGUGGCUAACUCCUCCUAAGGCUUUCGUCCCACUGACACCAAAUUUGCUCAGGCCAAUCUACACCCCAUGGCCAUUCAAAGUUUUAAAAAUCAUGACGCUGCACCCCACGGUUUACGUUCUAGGGGGCGCCAAAGAUGACCCAAAUAUCCACAUUAUUAAAAGAAUCGAAAUUCCCCCCCCCCCCCCCCCCAUCCCCCAUCCCCCAUCCCCCAUCCCCCAUGGCAGGAGAAACAGUCAAGUUUUUCCUGCCCAUCACUCAAUGGCUCAAUCGCAUCGCUCUCCCGGCAACACCGUAACGAGGAGCAACUUGCCGUUUGGAUAUAUCCUAGCUGUGUUUGUGCCCUCACUCAUGGUCCAGACUUUUUUCAAAUAGGACAUGUAGUUUGUCUGCAGCGAGUGUUUUGGUAGAAACUGCGCCUCCCAUUCAUUAUAAUGGGAAAUGACCACAAACAAGUGCGCACACCAUCUUUGGACCUUGAGUGUGACGCGAUCGGAAGGGGGAGGUGGUCGCACUGGGGGCGGCGCGACGCGGCUCGGGCCCGACAGUGCCCCACCGGGGCCCUAGUUAUUAUUUUUCUGCCCCUUUGAACUGGAAAAUGGCCCACUUCCCACUGGUGAAAAGUCAUGAAAUUUGGCAGGACGACCGGGCCUGGUGAAAAAUUCGAUAUUCUGAAGUCGCCCAAAAAAUCAAAUGCAAAAUGGCUCCAUAGCGCCCCCUAAGGUGAAAAAUUCACAUGAUUGAGUGUCACGCCUGUACGCUUUGUCAAAAUGACACAAAAUUUGACACACACGUGUAUCUCAAUAAGAUCUACAAAAAAGUCAGUGCGGGCGUAUCUGUCAAAUGUACGGUUAAAGGGCUAUUUCGCAUUUUUUGCCGAUCCACACACAUUGGAAUUUCGCUAACUCCUCCGAAGGCUUUCGUUCCACCGGCACCAAAUUUGCUCAGGCCAAUCUACACCCCAUGGCCAUUAAAAGUUGUACAAAUCAUGACGCUGCAUCCCACGGUUUACGUUCUAGGGGGCGCCAAAGAUAACCCAGAAAUCCACAUUCUUAAAAGUCGUAUAACUUUUUAUUUUUGUCCUCACUGGCCUCCAAGUUUUCUAGGAUGAUGCAAUGUCCAGCCAUCAACACAUUUGUGAAGGAAUUUUUACUCCCCAAAAGAGCGCCCCCCAUGGCAGGAGAAAAAAGUCCAUUUUUUCUUGUCUCCUAAGGCGAAAAUUCACACUAUUGACUGUCACGCCUUUACGCUUUGUCAUAUUGACACAAAAAUUGACACACACAUGUAUCUCAAUAAGAUCUACAAAAAAGUCAGUGCGGGCGUAUCUGUCAAAUGUACGGUGAAAGGGCUAUUUCGCAUUUUUUGCCGAUCCGCACACAUUGGAAUUUCGCUUACUCCUCCGAAGGCUUUCGUUCCAAAGGCACCACAUUUGCUGAGGCCAAUCUACACCCCAUGGCCAUUAAAAGUUGUACAAAUCAUGACGCUGCACCCCACGGUUUACGUUCUAGGGGGCGCCAAAGAUAACCCAAAAAUCCACAGUCUUAAAAGUCUUAUAACUUUUUAUUUUUGUCCUCACUGGCCUCCAAGUUCUCUAGGAUGAUGCAAUGUCCAGCCAUCAACACAUUUGUGAAGGAAUUUUUACUCCCCAAAAGAGCGCCCCCCCAUGGCAGGAGAAAAAAGUCCAUUUUUUCUUGUCUCCUAAGGCGAAAAUUCACACUAUUGACUGUCACGCCUUUACGCUUUGUCAUAUUGACACAAAAAUUGACACACACAUGUAUCUCAAUAAGAUCUACAAAAAAGUCAGUGCGGGCGUAUCUGUCAAAUGUACGGUGAAAGGGCUAUUUCGCAUUUUUUGCCGAUCCGCACACAUUGGAAUUUCGCUAACUCCUCCGAAGGCUUUCGUUCCAAAGGCACCACAUUUGCUGAGGCCAAUCUACACCCCAUGGCCAUUAAAAGUUGUACAAAUCAUGACGCUGCACCCCACGGUUUACGUUCUAGGGGGCGCCAAAGAUAACCCAAAAAUCCACAGUCUUAAAAGUCUUAUAACUUUUUAUUUUUGUCCUCACUGGCCUCCAAGUUCUCUAGGAUGAUGCAAUGUCCAACCAUCAACACAUUUGUGAAGGAAUUUUUACUCGCCAAAAGAGCGCCCCCCCAUGGCAGGAGAAAAAAGUCCAUUUUUUCUUGUCUCCUAAGGCGAAAAUACACAUUGUUGACUGUCACGCCUUUACGCUUUGUCAAAAUGACACAAAAUUUGACACACACAUGUAUCUCAAUAAGAUCUACAAAAAAGUCAGUGCGGGCGUAUCUGUCAAAUGUACGGUUAAAGGGUUAUUUCGCAUUUUUUGCCGAUCCGCACACAUUGGAAUUUCGCUAACUCCUCCUAAAUCUUUUGUCCCAUCGGCUUCAAAUUUGCUCAGGUCAAUCUACACCCCAUGGCCAUUCAAAGUUGUACAAAUCAUGACGCUGCACCCCACAGUUUACGUUCUAGGGGGCGCCAAAGAGGACCCAAAUAUCCACAUUUUUAAAAGUCUUAUAACUUUUUAUUUUUGUCCUCACUGGCCUCCAAGUUUUCUAGGAUGAUGCAAUGUCCAGCCAUCAACACAUUUGUGAAGGAAUUUUUUCUCCCCAAAAGAGCGCCCCCCAUGGCAGGAGAAAAAGUCAAGUUUUUCCUGCCCAUCACUCAAUGGCUCAAACGCAUCGCUCUCUCUGCAAAACCGAAAGGAGGAGCAACUUGCCAUUUGGAUAUAUACUAGCUGUGUUUGUGCCCUCACUCAUGGUCCAGACUUUUUUCGAAUAGGACAUGUAGUUUGUCUGCAGCGAGCGUUUUGGUAGAAACUGCGCCUCCCAUUCAUUAUAAUGGGAAAUGACCACAGACAAGUGCGCACACCAUCUUUGGACCUUGAGUGUGACGCGAUCGGGAGGGGGAGGCGGUCGCGCUGGGGGCGGCGCGACGCGGCUCGGGCCCGACAGUGCCCCACCGGGGCCCUAGUUAUUAUUAUUUUUCCUCCGCUUUAAACUGGAAAAAAACUCACUUCCCACUGGCGAAAACUCAUGAAAUUUGGCAGGACGAAAUUUGGCAGGACGACCGGGCCUGGUGAAAAAUUCGAUAUUCUGAAGUCGCCCAAACAAUAAAAUGCAAAAUGGCUCCAUAGCGCCCCCAAAGGUGAAAAUUCACACCAUUGACUGUCACGCCUGUACGCUUUGUCAUAUUGACACAAAAAUUGACACACAUAUGUAUCUCAAUAAGAUCUAAAAAAAAGUCAGUGCAGGCGUAUCUGUCAAAUGUACGGUUAAAGGGUUAUUUCGCAUUUUUUGCCGAUCCGCACACAUUGGAAUUUCGCUAACUCCUCCAAAGGCUUUCGUUCCACCAGCACCACAUUUGCUCAGGCCAAUCUACACCCCAUGGCCAUUAAAAGUUGUACAAAUCAUGACGCUGCACCCCACGGUUUAGGUUCUAGGGGGCGCCAAAGAUAACCCAAAAAUCCACAUUCUUAAAAGUCUUAUAACUUUUUAUUUUUGUCCUCACUGGCCUCCAAGUUCUCUAGGAUGAUGCAAUGUCCAGCCAUCAACACAUUUGUGAAGGAAUUUUUACUCCCCAAAAGAGCGCCCCCCCAUGGCAGGAGAAAAAAGGCCAUUUUUUCUUGUCCCCUAAGGCGAAAAUACACAUUGUUGAAUGUCACGCCUAUACGAUUUGUCAUAUUGACACAAAAUUUGACAAUCACGUGUAUCUCAAUAAGAUCUACGAAAAAGUCAAUGCGCGCGUAUCUGUAAAAUGUACGGUUAAAGGGCUAUUUCGCAUUUUUUGCCGAUUCGUACACAUUGGAAUGUGGCUAACUCCUCCUAAGGCUUUCGUCCCACUGACACCAAAUUUGCUCAGGCCAAUCUACACCCCAUGGCCAUUCAAAGUUGUACAAAUCAUGACGCUGCACCCCACGGUAUACGUUCUAGGGGGCGCCAAAGAGGACCCAAAUAUCCACAUUUUAAAAAGUCUUAUAACUUUUUAUUUUUGUCCUCACUGGCCUCCAAGUUUUCUAGGAUGAUGCAAUGUCCAGCCAUCAACACAUUUGUAAAGGAAUUUUUCUCCCCAAAAGAGCGCCCCCCAUGGCAGGAGAAAAAGUGAAGUUUUUCCUGCCCAUCCAUAUGGCUCAAACGCAUCGCUCUCUCGGCAAAACCGAAAGGAGGAGCAACUUGCCAUUUGGAUAUAUACUAGCUGUGUUUGUGCCCUCACUCAUGGUCCAGAAUUUUUUCAAAAAGGACUCUGCAGCGAGUGUUUUGGUAGAAACUGCGCCUCCCAUUCAUUAUAAUGGUAAAUGACCACAGACAAGUGCGCACACCAUCUUUGGACCUUGAGUGUGACGCGAUCGGGAGGGGAAGCGGUCGCGCUGGGGGCGGCGCGACACGGCUCGGGCCCGCCAGUGCCCCACCGGGGCCCUAGUUCGUUAUUAUUUUUCCUCCGCUUUAAACUGGAAAAUGGCCCACUUCCCACUGGCGAAAACUCAGGAAAUUUGGCAGGACGACCGGGCCUGGUGAAAAAUUCGAUAUUCUGAAGUCGCCCAAACAAUAAAAUGCAAAAUGGCUCCAUAGCGCCCCCUAAGGUGAAAAUUCACAUGACGGCUGUACGCUUUGUCAUAUUGACACAAAAAUUGACACACACAUGUAUCUCAAUAAGAUCUACAAAAAAGUCAGUGCGGGCGUAUCUGUCAAAUGUACCGUUAAAGGGCUAUUUCGCAUUUUUUGCCGAUCCACACACAUUGGAAUUUCGCUAACUCCUCCGAAGGCUUUCGUUCCACCGGCACCAAAUUUGCUCAGGCCAAUCUACACCCCAUGGCCAUUAAAAGUUGUACAAAUCAUGACGCUGCAUCCCACGGUUUACGUUCUAGGGGGCGCCAAAGAUAACCCAGAAAUCCACAUUCUUAAAAGUCGUAUAACUUUUUAUUUUUGUCCUCACUGGCCUCCAAGUUUUCUAGGAUGAUGCAAUGUCCAGCCAUCAACACAUUUGUGAAGGAAUUUUUACUCCCCAAAAGAGCGCCCCCCCAUGGCAGGAGAAAAAAGUCCAUUUUUUCUUGUCUCCUAAGGCGAAAAUUCACACUAUUGACUGUCACGCCUUUACGCUUUGUCAUAUUGACACAAAAAUUGACACACACAUGUAUCUCAAUAAGAUCUACAAAAAAGUCAGUGCGGGCGUAUCUGUCAAAUGUACGGUGAAAGGGCUAUUUCGCAUUUUUUGCCGAUCCGCACACAUUGGAAUUUCGCUAACUCCUCCGAAGGCUUUCGUUCCAAAGGCACCACAUUUGCUGAGGCCAAUCUACACCCCAUGGCCAUUAAAAGUUGUACAAAUCAUGACGCUGCACCCCACGGUUUACGUUCUAGGGGGCGCCAAAGAUAACCCAAAAAUCCACAGUCUUAAAAGUCUUAUAACUUUUUAUUUUUGUCCUCACUGGCCUCCAAGUUCUCUAGGAUGAUGCAAUGUCCAGCCAUCAACACAUUUGUGAAGGAAUUUUUACUCCCCAAAAGAGCGCCCCCCAUGGCAGGAGAAAAAAGUCCAUUUUUUCUUGUCUCCUAAGGCGAAAAUUCACACUAUUGACUGUCACGCCUUUACGCUUUGUCAUAUUGACACAAAAAUUGACACACACAUGUAUCUCAAUAAGAUCUACAAAAAAGUCAGUGCGGGCGUAUCUGUCAAAUGUACGGUGAAAGGGCUAUUUCGCAUUUUUUGCCGAUCCGCACACAUUGGAAUUUCGCUAACUCCUCCGAAGGCUUUCGUUCCAAAGGCACCACAUUUGCUGAGGCCAAUCUACACCCCAUGGCCAUUAAAAGUUGUACAAAUCAUGACGCUGCACCCCACGGUUUACGUUCUAGGGGGCGCCAAAGAUAACCCAAAAAUCCACAGUCUUAAAAGUCUUAUAACUUUUUAUUUUUGUCCUCACUGGCCUCCAAGUUCUCUAGGAUGAUGCAAUGUCCAGCCAUCAACACAUUUGUGAAGGAAUUUUUACUCGCCAAAAGAGCGCCCCCCAUGGCAGGAGAAAAAAGUCCAUUUUUUCUUGUCUCCUAAGGCGAAAAUACACAUUGUUGACUGUCACGCCUUUACGCUUUGUCAAAAUGACACAAAAUUUGACACACACAUGUAUCUCAAUAAGAUCUACAAAAAAGUCAGUGCGGGCGUAUCUGUCAAAUGUACGGUUAAAGGGUUAUUUCGCAUUUUUUGCCGAUCCGCACACAUUGGAAUUUCGCUAACUCCUCCUAAAUCUUUUGUCCCAUCGGCUUCAAAUUUGCUCAGGUCAAUCUACACCCCAUGGCCAUUCAAAGUUGUACAAAUCAUGACGCUGCACCCCACAGUUUACGUUCUAGGGGGCGCCAAAGAGGACCCAAAUAUCCACAUUUUUAAAAGUCUUAUAACUUUUUAUUUUUGUCCUCACUGGCCUCCAAGUUUUCUAGGAUGAUGCAAUGUCCAGCCAUCAACACAUUUGUGAAGGAAUUUUUUCUCCCCAAAAGAGCGCCCCCCCAUGGCAGGAGAAAAAGUCAAGUUUUUCCUGCCCAUCACUCAAUGGCUCAAACGCAUCGCUCUCUCUGCAAAACCGAAAGGAGGAGCAACUUGCCAUUUGGAUAUAUACUAGCUGUGUUUGUGCCCUCACUCAUGGUCCAGACUUUUUUCGAAUAGGACAUGUAGUUUGUCUGCAGCGAGCGUUUUGGUAGAAACUGCGCCUCCCAUUCAUUAUAAUGGGAAAUGACCACAGACAAGUGCGCACACCAUCUUUGGACCUUGAGUGUGACGCGAUCGGGAGGGGGAGGCGGUCGCGCUGGGGGCGGCGCGACGCGGCUCGGGCCCGACAGUGCCCCACCGGGGCCCUAGUUAUUAUUAUUUUUCCUCCGCUUUAAACUGGAAAAAAACUCACUUCCCACUGGCGAAAACUCAUGAAAUUUGGCAGGACGAAAUUUGGCAGGACGACCGGGCCUGGUGAAAAAUUCGAUAUUCUGAAGUCGCCCAAACAAUAAAAUGCAAAAUGGCUCCAUAGCGCCCCCAAAGGUGAAAAUUCACACCAUUGACUGUCACGCCUGUACGCUUUGUCAUAUUGACACAAAAAUUGACACACAUAUGUAUCUCAAUAAGAUCUACAAAAAAGUCAGUGCAGGCGUAUCUGUCAAAUGUACGGUUAAAGGGUUAUUUCGCAUUUUUUGCCGAUCCGCACACAUUGGAAUUUCGCUAACUCCUCCAAAGGCUUUCGUUCCACCAGCACCACAUUUGCUCAGGCCAAUCUACACCCCAUGGCCAUUAAAAGUUGUACAAAUCAUGACGCUGCACCCCACGGUUUAGGUUCUAGGGGGCGCCAAAGAUAACCCAAAAAUCCACAUUCUUAAAAGUCUUAUAACUUUUUAUUUUUGUCCUCACUGGCCUCCAAGUUCUCUAGGAUGAUGCAAUGUCCAGCCAUCAACACAUUUGUGAAGGAAUUUUUACUCCCCAAAAGAGCGCCCCCCCAUGGCAGGAGAAAAAAGGCCAUUUUUUCUUGUCCCCUAAGGCGAAAAUACACAUUGUUGAAUGUCACGCCUAUACGAUUUGUCAUAUUGACACAAAAUUUGACAAUCACGUGUAUCUCAAUAAGAUCUACGAAAAAGUCAAUGCGCGCGUAUCUGUAAAAUGUACGGUUAAAGGGCUAUUUCGCAUUUUUUGCCGAUUCGUACACAUUGGAAUGUGGCUAACUCCUCCUAAGGCUUUCGUCCCACUGACACCAAAUUUGCUCAGGCCAAUCUACACCCCAUGGCCAUUCAAAGUUGUACAAAUCAUGACGCUGCACCCCACGGUAUACGUUCUAGGGGGCGCCAAAGAGGACCCAAAUAUCCACAUUUUAAAAAGUCUUAUAACUUUUUAUUUUUGUCCUCACUGGCCUCCAAGUUUUCUAGGAUGAUGCAAUGUCCAGCCAUCAACACAUUUGUAAAGGAAUUUUUUCUCCCCAAAAGAGCGCCCCCCCAUGGCAGGAGAAAAAGUGAAGUUUUUCCUGCCCAUCCAUAUGGCUCAAACGCAUCGCUCUCUCGGCAAAACCGAAAGGAGGAGCAACUUGCCAUUUGGAUAUAUACUAGCUGUGUUUGUGCCCUCACUCAUGGUCCAGAAUUUUUUCAAAAAGGACCUGCAGCGAGUGUUUUGGUAGAAACUGCGCCUCCCAUUCAUUAUAAUGGUAAAUGACCACAGACAAGUGCGCACACCAUCUUUGGACCUUGAGUGUGACGCGAUCGGGAGGGGAAGCGGUCGCGCUGGGGGCGGCGCGACACGGCUCGGGCCCGCCAGUGCCCCACCGGGGCCCUAGUUCGUUAUUAUUUUUCCUCCGCUUUAAACUGGAAAAUGGCCCACUUCCCACUGGCGAAAACUCAGGAAAUUUGGCAGGACGACCGGGCCUGGUGAAAAAUUCGAUAUUCUGAAGUCGCCCAAACAAUAAAAUGCAAAAUGGCUCCAUAGCGCCCCCUAAGGUGAAAAUUCACAUGACGGCUGUACGCUUUGUCAUAUUGACACAAAAAUUGACACACACAUGUAUCUCAAUAACAUCUACAAAAAAGUCAGUACGGGCGUAUCUGUCAAAUGUACGGUUAAUGGGUUAUUUUGCAUUUUUUGCAGAUCUGCACACAUUGGAAUUUCGCUAACUCCUCCGAAGGCUUUCGUUCGACCGGCACCACAUUUGCGCAGGCCAAUCUACCCCCCAUGGCCAUUAAAAGUUGUACAAAUCAUGACGCUGCACCCCACGGUUUACGUUCUAGGGGGCGCCAAAGAUAACCCAAAAUCCACAUUCUUAAAAGUCUUAUAACUUUUUAUUUUUGUCCUCACUGCCCUCCAAGUUUUCUAGGAUGAUGCAAUGUCCAGCCAUCAACACAUUUGUGAAGGAAUUUUUACUCCCCAAAAGAGCGCCCCCCCAUGGCAGGAGAAAAAAGUCAAUUUUUUCUUGUCCCCUUACAUGAAAAUACACAUUGUUGAGUGUCAUGCCUGAACGCUUUGUCAUAUUGACACAAAAAUUGACAAUCACGUGUAUCUCAAUUAGAUCUACGAAAAAGUCAAAAAGCGCGUAUCUGUAUAAUGUACGGUUAAAGGGCUAUUUCGCAUUUUUUGCCGAUUCGCACACAUUGGAAUGUGGCUAUCUCCUCCUAAGGCUUUCGUCCCACCGAUACCAAAUUUGCUCAGGGCAAUCUACACCCCAUGCCCAUUCAAAGUUGAAAAAAAAUCAUGACGCUGCACCCCACGGUUUACGUUCUAGGGGGCACCAAAGAUGACCCAAAAAUCCACAUUCUUAAAAGUCAUUUUGGCCACUGCAGGAGUACAGAGUACUGCAGUUCUAGGGGGCGCCAAAGAUGACCCAAAAAUCCACAUUCUUAAAAGUCUUUUUGGCCACUGCAGGAGUACAGAGUACUGCAGGAUACACACACAUAUACACACACACACACACACACACACACACACACACACACACUCAGAGUCUGUUUUUUAGCACCUGCAAAAACAUGCUGUUUACAUAUUUGACAAGAAUGCAGAGGCUUCCUUUUGCCCCUGAAAAAAAUCAGAUUUCAAACACAACUUGACUGUUCAUUUCUCCAAAAGACAACCAUGAAGCUCCAUCCAAACCUGAAGCAGAUAGUUGGUGCAUGUGUACAGUAACCUGAGGGGAGUGAGGUGACUAUUUCUGAGGAGAACAUGAGCAGUGAAGAUUCACCUUGGAGCUAGAACAGGGACGUGCACAUGAUAAUACAGGGGCAGGGGCUCAAGUUUUUUCCAGUCAUUUAUACAAUAUGGAAAUUAAUGUGAAAUUAAAACACAAAUAUGUGUGAUGAACUGUUUUUAAAACUUAAACUUCAAAUAAAAAUUGUAAACUUCAAAACAUAUGCAAAUUUUUAACAAAGAACAUAGUAAUUUACCUCUAUUUACAUCAAAAUGCAGGCAAUGGCCCAGGCGUUCUUUGUAAAAUUAUUUACAAAACACUGUAUAGUCUCACAAAUGUCACUUUUUAUUUAUGCCACUACAAAAAAACAUGAUGUAAAUGAUGCAUGAUGUAAAACAUGAUGUAAAAAACUUGUGCAGAUCCUCCUCUAUGUCAGUCCAUGUGUAAUUUUUCCAUAAUUCUUUGUUUUUUGCAGCAUUUUUGUUAGUGUAACUGCAGAUUGUGCUGACAGUCUAUGGCAAAAAAAACAAAAACUGAAAAUGCCUCAACAUGAACCCCUGGUGGUCUCUGAGGGUGAAACCUGCUAACUGCUGCAGCUCUGUCAGCUUCAGUCUCCCAUGCAGAGCUCGGAGCGCAUGUGUGGCUCUGCACCCUUAGCAGCGUUGCUAACUCCUCAGUAAGGAAAGCCUGCUUCAUGUCAGAGUCUCUAAACUCCAGAAGAAGUCGAUAAAAGUCCCUUUCUUUCUAAAAAAAAGUCGUUAGGGGGUCUGAAAAGUCAUUGAAUCUAACAACAAAGUCGCUAGGUUUGCAACUACGUGUCCCAGACUGCAUCCCUGCUGAGAGUCCCUCCCUCCCUUCUCAUGUUGCAGGAAGAACGUAAGCGCCCGCCCCUUGUCAAUCAGUCACCAUAUAAUUUUGGAUUGGUUGUUGUGGUGAAGUUUUCCACCAAUAGGAGAGAUGUUGUGGUGUGUUUUUUUUUUCUUUUGGCAAGCCUUUUCCGCCUGUAAGACCUGUCGCUAAUGUGUGCAUGCUAUGUUUUCCUGUCUCAUACAGCGCGAUCGAGCGCCGAACGUGAUCAAAAUAAGCAGAAAAAAAGUAUCGCGGACAUAAUUUAUCAUAACUCUGGUUUUAUUUGGCCUAUCAACGCAAUUUAAAAACUGGUAUAUAGGUUGAGGUCCUCACUUUUGAGAUAAGUUGAAACGGAGAGUUAACGAGGCUCCGUCUUGCAGCUACAUCCGGUUAAAUAUGUCAUGUGACUUGAACGCUGGGGAGCGUCAAUCGAAUCGAAUCAAACCUAACUCUCAGAUGAAUCUUCAAAAUUCACCUCAGAAAUAUUCUUAUUAUUCUUCUCAGAGUACUGCAGGAUACACACACACACACACACACAGACACACACACACACACACACACACACACACACACACACACACACACACACACACACACACACACACUCAGAGUCUGUUUUUUAGCACCUGCAAAAACAUGCUAUUUACAUAUUUGACAAGAAUGCAGAGGCUCCUUUUGCCCCUGAAAAAAAUCAAAUUUCAAACACAACUUGACUGGUCAUUUCUCCAAAAGACAACCAUGAAGCUCCAUCCAAACCUGAAGCAGGCAGUUGGUGCAUGUGUACAGUAACCUGAGGGGAGUGAGGUGAGUGCUUCUGAGGAGAACAUGAGCAGUGAAGAUUCACCUUGGAGCUAGAACAGGACGUGCACAUGAUUAUACAGGGGCAGGGGCUCAAGUUUUUUCCAGGCGUUUAUACAAUAAGGAAAUUAAUGUGAAAUUAAAAAACAAAGUAUGACUGUCCUGUGUAGGUGACAGUGAUAUCCAAUAGGCUAGGCACUCACGAGGCUGGCUGUGGCAAGUGUAAGUGAAAGCAACACGCACUGGCAGGAAGAACAGCAAACGCCGAUGAAGGAAAAGGGUCUUUGCAGUGAUGGGCGUUACCAGAGAGGGCGAUGGCCAGAGGACGCGAAUGGGACGGGGAGGCAGCGCGUUGGGGGGGGGGGGGGGGGGUGCGACACGGCUCGGGCCCGCCAGUGCCCCAACGGGGCCCUAGUUUCUUCUUUAGGGCCCGAGCCAGCUGCAGAGCAGCCGGGCGUAGAGCCCUAUUAUUCUUGUAUAGGUUUUUCUUUCUUUAGGGCCCGAGCGUAGCUGCUAAGCAGCUGCGAGAGCCCUCUUGUUCCUGAUGGAUUCUUCUUUCGUUAUUUUUCCUCCGCUUUAAACUGGAAAAUGGCCCACUUCCCACUGGCGAAAACUCAGGAAAUUUGGCAGGACGACCGGGCCUGGUGAAAAAUUUGAUAUUCUGAAGUCGCCCAAACAAAAAAAUGAAAAAUGGCUGCAUAGCGCCCCCUAUGGUGAAAACUCACCUGACGCCUGUACACUUUGUCAAAAUGACACAAAAUUUGACACACAUGUGUAUCUCAAUAAGAUCUACAAAAAAGUCAGUGCGGGCGUAUCUGUCAAAUGUACGGUUAAAGGGUUAUUUCGCAUUUUUUGCCGAUCCGCACACAUUGGAAUUUCGCUAACUCCUCCGAAGGCUUUCGUUCCACCGGCACCACAUUUGCUCAGGCCAAUCUACACCCCAUGGCCAUUAAAAGUUGUACAAAUCAUGACGCUGCACCCCACGGUUUACGUUCUAGGGGGCGCCAAAGAUAACCCAAAAUCCACAUUCUUAAAAGUCUUAUAACUUUUUAUUUUUGUCCUCACUGGCCUCCAAGUUUUCUAGGAUGAUGCAAUGUCCAGCCAUCAACACAUUUGUGAAGGAAUUUUUACUCCCCAAAAGAGCGCCCCCCCAUGGCAGGAGAAAAAAGUCCUUUUUUCUUGUCCCCUAACAUGAAAAUACACAUUGUUGAGUGUCACGCCUAAACGCUUUGUCAUAUUGACAAAACAUUUGACAAUCACGUGUAUCUCAAUAAGAUCUACAAAAAAGUCAUAGAGCGCGUAUCUGUAUAAUGUACGGUUAAAGGGCUAUUUUGCAUUUUUUGCCGAUCCGCACACAUUGGAAUUUCGCUAACUCCUCCGAAGGCUUUCGUUCCACCGGCACCAAAUUUGCUCAGGCCAAUCUACACCCCAUGGCCAUUAAAAGUUGUACAAAUCAUGACGCUGCAACCCACAGUGAAGGUUCUAGGGGGCGCCAAAGAUAACCCAAAAAUCCACAUUCUUAAAAGUCUUAUAACUUUUUAUUUUUGUCCUCACUGGCCUCCAAGUUUUCUAGGAUAAUGCAAUGUCCAGCCAUCAACACAUUUGUGAAGGAAAUUUUACUCCCCAAAAGAGCGCCCCCCAUGGCAGGAGAAAAAAGUCUAUUUUUUCUUGUCCCCUAAGGUGAAAAUACACAUUGUUUAGUGUCACGCCUGUACGCUUUGGCAAAAUGACACAAAUAUUAACACACACAUGUAUCUCAAUAAGAUCUACGAAAAAGUCAAUGCGCGCAUAUCUGUCAAAUGUACGGUUAAAGGGUUAUUCCGCAUUUUUUGCCGAUCCGCACACAUUGGAAUGUGGCUAACUCCUCCUAAGGCUUUCGUUCCACUGGCACCACAUUUGCUCAGGCCAAUCUACACCCCAUGGCCAUUAAAAGUUAUUCAAAUCAUGACGCUGCACCCCACGGUUUAGGGUCUAGGGGGCGCCAAAGAUAACCCUAAAAUCCACAUAUUUAAAAGUCUUAUAACUUCUUAUUUUUGUCCUCACUGGCCUCCAGGUUUUCUAGGAUGAUGCAAUGUCCAGCCAUCAACACAUUUGUGAAGGAAUUUUUACUCCCCAAAAGAGCGCCCCCCCAUGGCAGGAGAAAAAAGUCCAUUUUUUCUUGUCCCCUAAGGUGAAAAUACAUAUUGUUGAGAUUCACGCCUAUACGCUUUGUCAUAUUGACACAAAAUUUGACAUUCACGUGUAUCUCAAUAAGAUCUACGAAAAAGUCAAUGGGCGUGUAUCUGUCUAAUGUACGGUUAAAGGGCUAUUUUGCAUUUUUUGCCGAUUCGCACACAUUGGAAUGUGGCUAACUCCUCCUAAGGCUUUCGUCCCACUGACACCAAAUUUGCUCAGGCCAAUCUACACCCCAUGGCCAUUCAAAGUUGUAAAAAUCAUGACGCUGCACCCCACGGCUCACGUUCUAGGGGGCGCCAAAGAUGACCCAAAUAUCCACAUUCUUAAAAGAAUCCACAUCCCCCCCCAUCCCCCAUCCCCCAUGGCAGGAGAAACAGUCAAGUUUUUCCUGCCCAUCACUCAAUGGCUCAAUCGCAUCGCUCUCCCGGCAACACCGUAACAAGGAGCAACUUGCCGUUUGGAUAUAUCCUAGCUGUGUUUGUGGCCUCACUCAUGGUCCAGACUUUUUUCAAAUAGGACAUGUAGUUUGUCUGCAGCGAGUGUUUUGGUAGAAACUGCGCCUCCCAUUCAUUAUAAUGGGAAAUGACCACAGACAAGUGCGCACACCAUCUUUGGACCUUGAGUGUGACGCGAUCGGGAGGGGGAGGCGGUCGCACUGGGGGCGGCGCAACGCGGCUCGGGCCCGCCAGUGCCCCAACGGGGCCCUAGUCUUUCUUUCUUUCUUUCUUUCUUCUUAUUUUUCCUCCCCUUUGAAGGGGAAAAUGGCCCACUUCCCACUGGCGAAAACUCAGGAAAUUUGGCAGGACGACCGGGCCCGGUGAAAAAUUCGAUAUUCUGAAGUCGCCCAAACAAUAAAAUGCAAAAUGGCUCCAUAGCGCCCCCUAAGGCGAAAAUUCACACUAUUGACUGUCACGCCUGUACGCUUUGUCAUUUUGACACAAAAAUUGACACACACGUGUAUCUCAAUACGGUCUACGAAAAAGUCAGCGCGGGCGCAUCUGUGAAAUGUACGGUUAGAGGGUUAUUUCGCAUUUUUUGCCGAUCUGCACACAUUGGAAUUUCGCUAACUCCUCCGAAGGCUUUCGUUCCACCGGCACCACAUUUGCUCAGGCCAAUCUACACCCCAUGGCCAUUAAAAGUUGUACAAAUCAUGACGCUGCACCCCACGGUUUACGUUCUAGGGGGCGCCAAAGAUAACCCAAAAAUCCACAGUCUUAAAAGUCUUAUAACUUUUUAUUUUUGUCCUCACUGGCCUCCAAGUUCUCUAGGAUGAUGCAAUGUCCAGCCAUCAACACAUUUGUGAAGGAAUUUUUACUCCCGAAUAGGGCGCCCCCCCAUGGCAGGAGAAAAAAGUCCAUUUUUUCUUGUCCCCUAAGGUGAAAAAACACAUUGUUGACUGUCACGCCUAUACGCUUUGUCAAAAUGAUACAAAAUUUGACACACACGUGUAUCUCAAUAAGAUCUACGAAAAAGUCAAUGUGCACGUAUCUGUAAAAUGUACGGUUAAAGGGUUAUUUCGCAUUUUUUCCCGAUCCGCACACAUUGGAAUUUCGCUAACUCCUCCGAAGGCUUUAGUUCCACCGCCACCAAAUUUGCUCAGGCCAAUCUACACCCCAUGGCCAUUAAAAGUUGUAAAAAUCAUGACGCUGCACUCCACGGUUUACGUUCUAGGGGGCGCCAAAGAUAACCCAAAAAUCCACAUUCUUAAUAGUCUUAUAACUUUUUAUUUUUGUCCUCACUGGCCUCCAAGUUUUCUAGGAUGAUGCAAUGUCCAGCCAUCAACACAUUUGUAAAGGAAUUUUUACUCCCGAAAAGGGCGCCCCCCCAUGGCAGGAGAAAAAAGUCCAUUUUUUCUUGUCCCCUAAGGUGAAAAAACACAUUGUUGACUGUCACGCCUAUACGCUUUGUCAAAAUGACACAAAAUUUGACACACACGUGUAUCUCAAUAAGAUCUACGAAAAAGUCAAUGGGCACGUAUCUGUAAAAUGUACGGUUAAAGGGCUAUUUCGCAUUUUUUGCCGAUUCGCACACAUUGGAAUGUGGCUAACUCCUCCUAAGGCUUUCUUCCCACCGACACCAAAUUUGCUCAAGCCAAUCUACAUCCCAUGGCCAUUCAAAGUUGUAAAAAUCAUGCCGCUGCACCCCAUGGUUUACGUUCUAGGGGGCGCCAAAGAUGACCCAAAUAUCCACAUUCUUAAAAGAAUCCACAUCCCCCCCCCCCCCCCCACCCCCCCCCCCAAGGCACAGAGAAAAGUCAGUUAACCCUGCCCAUCGCUCAAUGGCUCAAUCGCAUCGCUCUCCCGGCAACACCGUAAGGAGGAGCAACUUGCCAUUUGGAUAUAUCCUAGCUGUGUUUGUGCCCUCACUCAUGGUCCAGACUUUUUUCAAAUAGGACAUGUAGUUUGUCUGCAGCGACCGUUUUGGUAGAAACUGCGCCUCCCAUUCAUUAUAAUGGGAAAUGACCACAGACAAGUGCGCACACCAUUUUUGGACCUUGAGUGUAAUGCAAUCGGGAGGGGGAGGCGGUCGCGCUGGGGGCGGCGCGACGCGGCUCGGGCCCGACAGUGCCCCACCGGGGCCCUAGUCUUCUUAUUA